rnacentral:rRNA from 1 species
AUUGAACGCUGGCGGAAUGCUUUACACAUGCAAGUCGAACGGCAGCACGGACUUCGGUCUGGUGGCGAGUGGCGAACGGGUGAGUAUUAUAUCGGAACGUAUCCAAUAAUGGGGGAUAACUAAUCGAAAGGUUGGCUAAUACCGCAUACGUCCUACGGGAGAAAGCUAGGGACCUUCGGGCCUGGCGUUAAUGGAGCGGCCGAUAUCGGAUUAGCUAGUUGGUGAGGUAAAGGCUCACCAAGGCGACGAUCCGUAGCUGGUCUGAGAGGACGACCAGCCACACUGGAACUGAGACACGGUCCAGACUCCUACGGGAGGCAGCAGUGGGGAAUUUUGGACAAUGGGCGAAAGCCUGAUCCAGCCAUUCCGCGUGAGUGAAGAAGGCCUUCGGGUUGUAAAGCUCUUUCGCAAGAGAAGAAAACUUACCCUCUAACAUAGGGUGAGGUUGACGGUAUCUUGAUAAGAAGCACCGGCUAACUACGUGCCAGCAGCCGCGGUAACAC